rnacentral:rRNA from 1 species
AACGUAGGAGACAAACGUUAUCCGGAGUUACUGGGCGUAAAGGGCGUGUAGGUGGUUCUGUAAGUCUGGCGUGAAAUUUCUCGGCUUAACCGAGGCAGGUCGUCGGAUACUGCAGGGCUAGAGGACGGUAGAGGCGUGUGGAAUUCCGGGUGUAGUGGUGAAAUGCGUAGAGAUCCGGAGGAACACCAGUGGCGAAGGCGACUCUUUGGCCUGUAACUGACGCUGAGGCGCGAAAGCGUGGGGAGCAAACAGG